rnacentral:misc_RNA from 1 species
GCUGAGCCGCGCCCUAUCAUGGCGAAUGUUUGGACUUCGGUCUGGGCUAGUAGCUUUUUUGUUUUAAACCAUUUAACAAUACUGAUUAUACUGUGGGGACGAAAGUCUCUGCUUUUAACUAGAU